rnacentral:rRNA from 1 species
GUUCCGCGUCUGAUUAGCUAGUUGGUGGGGUAAUGGCCUACCAAGGCAACGAUCAGUAGCCGGCCUGAGAGGGUGAACGGCCACAUUGGGACUGAGACACGGCCCAAACUCCUACGGGAGGCAGCAG